CCGCUUUCGGAACGCGCUCAGUGUACGAAGGCAGACCUGCAUCACGCCUAGUGCAGUGCGGGGCUCCGGCCUCCCCGGCCAGAUCUAAAUUCUCUUCUCGUCUCUUCCCACCGACUGAGAAGGCAAGCAAAAUGAUGUCCAUUGUACAUGUGAAAUCAUGCAAAAUGAUUUUGAAAUAAUGCAGAAUGAGUUUUGAAAGAGGGGCAUCCGAUGAUUACGUAUUCCUGAGCCGGACUUUCUUUUUAAGAUUUCUGGUCUUUUCAAAUUUGUAUAAUUGAGUGUUCAUUUCGUUCAAUAUCAUUAUCAUAGGAGGAAACUUCCCCACUCCAGAAUACUUUCUCUAAUUCAGGUGUCAAAUUAAUAUUUCUUGAAGUGCAGGUUUGACGACAUCGCCUUGCCAUCCAAUAAUCUCUAUUUGCUCUGUAUUAUCUCUCCAGGACCAAAUAUAAAAUUUCAAUUCAGUAAACAUGUCAAUAAGCACCUACAAUGCCCCAGGCACUGUGCUUUAGGAAUACGAAAAGAAGCAAAAUAAAAAAAAUCUAAUGGAGGAAACGCGAUGCAAACAAAUACGAAGCGAGCUAUAUACGGGAUAAAUAGGAAACGACUGACAGAAGGAAGACACUGGAAUUAAAUCUUGUAGGAGAUGGGAUUUUAGUUGGUAGUUGGAGGAAGCCAGAGAAAAAGUAAGAGAAAGCAGAGGGAGAGAUCUGGAGGGUCUAGUUUGCUUGUGGUAUAACCUGGAGGCCCGAGUCACGUGAUUGGAGAGUACACGUAGAGGAGUAAAGUGUAAGAAGAAUGAAAAGAUAGGCGGGAGGGGGAGAGGGAGGGAGGGAGGGGAGGAAAAGUUGGAUUAGAUUAUGAAAGGCUUUGAGUGCCAAACAGCAUUUUGUAUUUGCCCCGAUGCAAAAACCAAAAAGCUGCCUUUUAAAAUCCUUCCCAACUCGAUCCCUUCCUACCUUUUCAGAAAUCUCAUUCUCCUUCCUUAUUUAUUCCACCUUUUGUGUUGGUGAAGGAAGUGGCAAGAACUGUUUAAAAUGCUAUACUAUAUAUAUCAUUAUUAGAUUCAAUAGAAUGCUAUUCUCCAGCUGGAGGACCUGGUUGAAAAUCCCCUCACUAACGCUUCUCCUGCUUGCGAUCCAAAGACCCUUGUACCAGAAACAGCCUCUCAACUCACUGGCUAUUUCUCAACUCCAUCUCAGACUAUGAAUUCCCUCUGCCUCCUAAAAUCCCACUACCCCUCUAAUACAUUCCCUCAGGGAUUAUCACCCAGUCUAUUAUGUAUGUAUUGUAUACAUGUUUCCCCCCUUUAGAUUGUGAACCCUUGAAGGAAGGGGUUGUUUUUUGCCUUUCUUGUAUUGCUGAUGCUUCAUAUGGUGCCAGACAAAUAGCUGAUUCUUUAUUGCUAAAUUAAUUAACUUGCCGACUGGGUAAAUAUGAUAAUGCCCCUGCCAAGGAUAAUAUAUCUUAAUUUAUUCACAGGAGCAAAAGCCGUCGGUGUUUCUUAACUAUCUCUACCCUCCCAGGCAGUCUGACAAGUCAUUUGAAUUUUCCUGGAAGUUGAGGUAGCAGUUAUUUGGAAAAGUGCUAAAUUUGGUAUAUCAGAAGGAUUCAAAGCUUACUUCCUAUCUUGUGUAACUGAUGUGAUUCAAGGACCAAAACGAUGUGGGUGAUUUAGACACCAGAUAAUGGUGAGCACCAAAAGUUGGAGUUUGGUCAUGUGAAGAAUUCACAAUGUCCAUUCUGUUUGGCAAAAGGUAGAAUUAUUUAGGGAAAGGAUACAAUAAACACCAGCAAUGGUAAAUAUGAGAGUUGGGAGAACAUAUGAAAGACAAAUUCCUAAGUGGAACUCGAGAUUACACAAUAUAAAGGGAGCACCCCAUGAGGUUAGGGCAUUCCCUAAUCGGGCAGGCUAAAUCCUGAAAGGAAUCUAGUACCCUAAAAAGUUAGUUAGCUGUAAGGAGGAAAAGUGGGGUUAGAACAUAGUGGAGUUAGGAGAAAUAUCACUUGGCUUUGGGGAAUGAUGUAAGAAAAACACCUUGAGGCAGAGUGUGGUGGUGAACUGACCCAAAGGAGGGCAGCGGCCAUGGGAUGGCCCAUAAGUAGAUUUUAUAGAGAAAAUUUAACCUCAUGGACAUGACUAGAGUCCUGAUAGGGCAAGGCAAGGUAGGACGGUUGGAGACCUCGGCAGAGGAUGGGUCUCAGGGGUUUGACAUAAUUUGAAUUUCAGAUUGGCCAGCUUCCCUAAAGGUAAGAUCCUGGAGCUCACCUAAUCUCUUGCAGAGCCUUCUACUUGCCGCCUCAGGGAUUUUUUUUAUCAGUUCCUAGGCUAACCAUACCUAAAAUUGAAAGGGCAGGUUACUUCAUUCCUCUGAGCCUAAAUUUUCUCAGAUUUAGCCUAGAUGACCUUUAAGGUUCUGUCUGAAAGCUUUUGAACCUCUGAAUCAUUCUUAUCUUCAUUACUCUAAAACAAAAUCAUUGCAUGGUUCCUGGGUCUUUAUACCAUAUCCAGGGGAAAAAAAUCCUCAAUUCUUGCCUUAUUGGUUAUGUAAUGUGUAUCAAAGACCUCAGACACAAUUAAAAUGGGGUCAAUUAAAGUGAGAUGCAGAUAAUUUUUACAGAUUGCUGAUGGGGAUUAAAUAUUAAAAAUAGGAAAUAUAGUAUGCAAUUUACUCAAGUAAAGGAUAAGGACUAUGGUGGGACAGUGAAUUAUUAAAACUCAGUAUAUCCUCAACUGGGUUAAUAAACCAAUAGUGUUUUCUCAAAACUUGACCCUUCUGAAAUCUCCAUUUCUGUCCAUGUAAGAGGAUUUAUUCUAUUUUUCAUGUUGGAAAUUUUGGUGCUUUGACCUUUUUCCUCUUAUUUACUUCUCAUAUCCAAACAACUGUCUAUCCCAGUAUUCCAACAUACCUCCCUAGAUGAUUGAAAUAGAAUCCUCACCAUUCUGUUUCCCUUCUCUCAUCCUUCCAAUUCAUUCUCCACAUUACUGUCAAGCUUGGUUGAAUCAUAUCUUUCUUCAAAGCCUUCAGUGGCUCUCUAUUGAAAAGUCAAAAGUUAGUUAUCAUUCUUAACAUAUAGGGACAUUGUCAGGAGUUUGGAAUGCUAUUGUAUGACUUGGAUCACUCAGUAUCUCCUAGGGACAGCAAACCUCCUCCUGCCAAUGAUUAUUAGCAAACAUACAGAGUUAAAUGAAAGGCAGCCAGUUUCUUCAUUCCUCUUUUUUUUUUUUUUUCCUCCCGCUUCACUUCAUUUGUAACUUGGAAAUAAAUUGAUUGGUCACAGCAAGAUUAUCUCUGGGAAGCCUAUAUUGAUAAACACAGGAGGACAACAAUAAUCUCAUGCUUGUGUAGACUUUAAAAGCCUAAGGCAGGUAUGUCAUGGAGGUCAGGCACAGGGACUGAGGAAGGAGAACAGAGGAAAGAGAAAUAUAAAAUCAAAUUUACCUUUUCAUUUUCUGCUUUUCAAAGGUUCUCAGCUAACUUUUUAUUGUGUCCUCAAGGCAUUAUAUGUUCUACGGAAAGAUUUCCUUUGGUAUUUUCCUAGAAGGUCCAUUUAUAUAGAAAAUGUUCUCAUCUAUAUUGAGGAAGUAAAGAUUGAAUUGUAACUUUUUGGAAAACUGCCCUAUGCUGUUCUACUUAAAAUUAUAACUUGUGGAAUCCAAGUAAAUAUUCAAUAACAGACUCUGGGGGGGGGGGGAGGAUUUUUAUAAAUCGUUUUGUUAAAUCUGGAUGAUCAACCAAACAAAUAAAACUCUGAUGUUUAA